rnacentral:misc_RNA from 1 species
UUUCCGUAGGUGAACCUGCGGAAGGAUCAUUAACGAGUUAGGGUCUUCCAGGCCCGACCUCCCAACCCUAUGUUUAUUGAACCUCUGUUGCUUCGGCGGACCCGCCUCACGGCCGCCGGAGGACCGCUGCAAGGCGUCCUCUGGCCAGCGUCCGCCGAUGGCCAACCACUUAAACUCUGAAUGAAUCGUGUCAUAUGUCUAAGUCUAUGAUUAAAUUAAAGCAAAGCUUUCAACAACGGAUCUCUUGGUUCUG